GACGAACGCUGGCGGCGUGCUUAACACAUGCAAGUCGAACGAUGAAGCCUAGCUUGCUAGGUGGAUUAGUGGCGAACGGGUGAGUAAUACGUGAGUAACCUACCUUUAACUCUGGGAUAAGCCUGGGAAACUGGGUCUAAUACCGGAUACGACCAAUCUCCGCAUGGGGUGUUGGUGGAAAGCGUUAUGUAGUGGUUAUAGAUGGGCUCACGGCCUAUCAGCUUGUUGGUGAGGUAACGGCUCACCAAGGCGACGACGGGUAGCCGGCCUGAGAGGGUGACCGGCCACACUGGGACUGAGACACGGCCCAGACUCCUACGGGAGGCAGCAGUGGGGAAUAUUGCACAAUGGGCGCAAGCCUGAUGCAGCGACGCCGCGUGAGGGAUGACGGCCUUCGGGUUGUAAACCUCUGUUAGCAGGGAAGAAGAGAAAUUGACGGUACCUGCAGAGAAAGCGCCGGCUAACUACGUGCCAGCAGCCGCGGUAAUACGUAGGGCGCGAGCGUUGUCCGGAAUUAUUGGGCGUAAAGAGCUUGUAGGCGGUUUGUCGCGUCUGCUGUGAAGGCCGGGGCUUAACCCCGUGUAUUGCAGUGGGUACGGGCAGACUAGAGUGCAGUAGGGGAGACUGGAAUUCCUGGUGUAGCGGUGGAAUGCGCAGAUAUCAGGAGGAACACCGAUGGCGAAGGCAGGUCUCUGGGCUGUAACUGACGCUGAGAAGCGAAAGCAUGGGGAGCGAACAGGAUUAGAUACCCUGGUAGUCCAUGCCGUAAACGUUGGGCACUAGGUGUGGGGGACAUUCCACGUUUUCCGCGCCGUAGCUAACGCAUUAAGUGCCCCGCCUGGGGAGUACGGCCGCAAGGCUAAAACUCAAAGAAAUUGACGGGGGCCCGCACAAGCGGCGGAGCAUGCGGAUUAAUUCGAUGCAACGCGAAGAACCUUACCAAGGCUUGACAUAUACUGGACCGCAUCAGAGAUGGUGUUUCCCUUCGGGGCUGGUAUACAGGUGGUGCAUGGUUGUCGUCAGCUCGUGUCGUGAGAUGUUGGGUUAAGUCCCGCAACGAGCGCAACCCUCGUUCUAUGUUGCCAGCACGUUAUGGUGGGGACUCAUAGGAGACUGCCGGGGUCAACUCGGAGGAAGGUGGGGAUGACGUCAAAUCAUCAUGCCCCUUAUGUCUUGGGCUUCACGCAUGCUACAAUGGCCGGUAUAGAGGGUUGCGAUACUGUGAGGUGGAGCUAAUCCCUAAAAGCCGGUCUCAGUUCGGAUUGGGGUCUGCAACUCGACCCCAUGAAGUCGGAGUCGCUAGUAAUCGCAGAUCAGCAACGCUGCGGUGAAUACGUUCCCGGGCCU
rnacentral:rRNA from 1 species